CAUUUCAUGUAGGUAGAUGGGGAGUAGAAGGGAGAGUGCAUAACAAAACUAAUCUUACUAACCAUUGGCUUGCCUUUAAUUAAUUAUAAGAUCAAAUUAAUGUUAUGGUACUAUCCCAUGUGCCAACCUCACCUGCUCGCGCCAACAGCCGGCUGUUGGCGGCAGCGGCGUGGCUCACCGCGAGAAUGAGACGCUCCGCUGCGGUGCUCCCUGCUGUCUUACUGACGAGGCUCUGGCUUUAACUAAUAUUUAUGGCUGUCUUUUACUAACAUUGUAUGUCAUGUUAUAGAGCUUGCAGAUGGACUAACCAGGCUGGCAGUGUGUGGCAGCUAACUUGUUUAUAAAUGUGGAAACAUCUCAUUCACACAAAACACAGAUGAGCCGUGCAAUGCUUUGAUGUGUCUCUAAUUAUACAUCGAUGUAAACUCUAACAAUGCAUAGCCAAAUAUAAAUCUAAUUUUAAUAUGUUUUAUAUUACAGAUGACAAACGAUUUAUUAGUAAUAUCACUGUUUAUAUCUUAUCUGGAUAAGAUACUCAAUUAGACAUCAAGAUGACUGUCACUCGUACACUCAAAAGAUACUAAGAGUAUAGAAGCCAAAAGAGAAACUUGAGUGAUGCAAAAGUUAAAAUUGCUACGAUGGUGCUCACCACAUGUACUCGCAAGUCAAGUUCCUCAAGAUGAAGCAUUAAUAACGCAGCCCUGACAAAAUAAUGCAAAUUUGAAGAAUUCAUAAACAUAAAAGAACUAACUACUAAUUAAGGUAUAGACUAGAAGAAAUAAUAAAAAUUAAAAUGUAAUAUAAUACUUAGCUACCUACGUUUCGCUACUUCAUACUGAACUGAACCGGAGCCUGACAAUGCACCACACGACCUUUUUCUGAUUAUGUAAAACGCCAUGAAUAUAAUAGAAUUGAUCACAUCUCACAAGGAAGGAGGAGUGAUAUCGCCAAGAAGAAAUUACUGUCUCAAUGCGUAAAAUAUUACUCUACGAAGCAAGAAGGCUAAGAAUAAAGAAAGAAAAGAAGGCAAAACAUAAACGCAAGACGCAAAUAGUAGUUCACGACACGACAAGUUCAUCAGUAUCAUUGAAUUAUCGACAUUGGACUUGAAAUCUCAGUUGCAGUUCCGGCAUUGGAUUGACGACAGCAGUCAACUAUCGAUGAACACUGAUUUGAAGAUGCUUGACGUUCUACAGAGGAAGCAAGAAAAUAAUCAUUAGAGAUAUUUACAGAUUAAAACAUAGUAGUUAUGCACUUUUAUUCAAAUUAAUAUUGUUUACUGAUCAGUAAUAAUAACAUAACCCAAGACUUGUAGCAGCUUAUGCUGAACCUCAUCAUGGCUCUUUUGUUUUUUUUUUCUUUAUUUUUCAUUUUCUAAUAUUAAUUUAGUGAACAUAAAAUGCCAGCUACUCGGAUAUUUAGGUGACUUAAGACUGAUUUUUUAAUCG